ACUCAAAUGAAUUGACGGGGGCCCGCACAAGCAGUGGAGUAUGUGGUUUAAUUCGAAGCAACGCGAAGAACCUUACCAGGUCUUGACAUCCAACUAACGAGGCAGAGAUGCGUUAGGUGCCCUUCGGGGAAAGUUGAGACAGGUGGUGCAUGGUUGUCGUCAGCUCGUGUCGUGAGAUGUUGGGUUAAGUCCCGCAACGAGCGCAACCCUUGCCAUUAGUUGCUACAUUAAGUUGAGCACUCUAAUGGGACUGCCGUUGACAAAACGGAGGAAGGUGGGGAUGACGUCAAAUCAUCAUGCCCCUUAUGACCUGGGCUACACACGUACUACAAUGGUCGCUAACAGAGGGAUGCAAAGCCGCGAGGUGGAGCGAAACCCCAAAAGCGAUCUCAGUUCGGAUUGCAGGCUGAAACUCGCCUGCAUGAAGUCGGAAUUGCUAGUAAUCGCGGAUCAGCAUGCCGCGGUGAAUACGUUCCCGGGCCUUGUACACACCGCCCGU
rnacentral:rRNA from 1 species